GGAGAGGUGUCCGAGUUGGCUUAAGGAGCACGCUUGGAAAGCGUGUGUGCUGCAAGGUACCCAGGGUUCGAAUCCCUGCCUCUCCGCCA
rnacentral:tRNA from 1 species